AGAAUUUGAUCUUGGUCAGGAUGAACGCUAGCGACAGGCCUAACACAUGCAAGUCGAGGGGCAGCAACGAAGGAGCAAUCUGAGGUGGCGACCGGCGCACGGGUGAGUAACACGUAUGCAACCUGCCUGUAGGCGGGAAUAACCCGUUGAAGGACGGACUAAUACCGCAUAAUACUAAAUUACUGCAUGGUAAUUUAUUUAAACAUUUAUGGCUUACAGAUGGGCAUGCGCAUGAUUAGCUAGUUGGAGAGGUAACGGCUCCCCAAGGCAACGAUCAUUAGGGGUUCUGAGAGGAAGGUCCCCCACACUGGUACUGAGACACGGACCAGACUCCUACGGGAGGCAGCAGUGAGGAAUAUUGGUCAAUGGACGAGAGUCUGAACCAGCCAAGUAGCGUGAAGGAUGACUGCCCUAUGGGUUGUAAACUUCUUUUAUAAGGGAAUAAAGUGAGGGACGUGUCCCUUUUUGUAUGUACCUUAUGAAUAAGGAUCGGCUAACUCCGUGCCAGCCGCUGC
rnacentral:rRNA from 1 species